CCCUUAGAUGUUCUGGGCCGCACGCGCGCUACACUGAUGCAUUCAACGAGCCUAUCCUUGACCGACAGGUCCGGGUAAUCUUUGAAUCUGCAUCGUGACGGGGAUAGAUUAUUUCAAUUAUUAAUCUUCAACGAGGAAUGCCUAGUAGGCGCAAGUCAUCAGCUUGCGUCGAUUACGUCCCUGCCCUUUGUACACACCGCCCGUCGCUCCUACCGAUUGGGUGUGCUGGUGAAAUGUUCGGAUCGGCCGUUUGUCGCGGUUUCCGCGUCAUGUGGCUGAGAAGUUCAUUAAACCCUCCCACCUAGAGGAAGGAGAAGUCGUAACA
rnacentral:rRNA from 1 species